rfam:Loxodonta africana unplaced genomic scaffold scaffold_9, whole genome shotgun sequence.
UGGCAUAGUGGUUAAGCGCUCAGCUGCUAACUGAAAGGUAGUUGGUUCGAAUCCACC